GCCCCGCCGUAAACUUAGAUAUUCCAGUACAACAAAUAUCCGCCAGGGGACUACGAGCGCCAGCUUAAAACCCAAAGGACUUGGCGGUGCUUCAGACCCCCCUAGAGGAGCCUGUUCUAGAACCGAUAACCCCCGUUCAACCUCACUACUCCUUGCUUUUCCCGCCUAUAUACCACCGUCGCCAGCUUACCCUGUGAAGGUACUACAGUAAGCAGAAUGAGUAAUACUCAAAACGUCAGGUCGAGGUGUAGCGUACGAAGUAGGAAGAAAUGGGCUACACUAUCUGAUCCAGAUUAUUCACGGAAGGUUGUCUGAAACGACAAUCCGAAGGUGGAUUUAGCAGUAAAGGGGGAAUAGAGUGCC
rnacentral:rRNA from 1 species